GUGGGGCCGCGGGGCUCCAGCUGCAGGGCCCGGGGGGGGGGUCCCGGGGACCCAGGGAGUCCGGGGCCGUGGUGCGCUCGGCGAGGCGAAGCUAGACGACGAGCCCCUGAGCCGCGGCCUCCCGUCUACUGCUUGCCAACAAUCCGGGGUCCGCUUGCCAGGUUUUGUCCGCCUGCUCAUCCGAGGUCAUCGAGUAACCCCGGGUCAACAGGUGCGGACGAUGGGAGGACGACUGUCACCUCCUCCGGCUUCACAGCCAGAACUGCGCUAAGCCUUUUACAUACAUUCUGUCAUUUGGUUUAAGUUCCUUUGUACAGAUAAGGAACCUGGGACUUAGAGAACCGUCUUCCCUACCACGGGCUGUUAGAGCCAACGUGAGUCCUUUCUCGUUCCAAAGAGCGACUCUGUGUUGUCCUGUACAUUAAGUGUAUGAUCCCUUCAACUGAUAACUAGGGACGCCUGGGGGGCUCAGUGGUGGAGCGUCCGCCUCUGGCCCAGGGCGUGACCCCGGGGUCCUGGGAUCGAGUCCCACGUCCCGCUCCCUGCAUGGAGCCUGCUUCUCCCUCUGCUGGGUCUCUGCCUCUCUCUCUGUGUCUCUCAUGAAUACAUAAAUAAAUAAACAUCUUAAAAAAAAAAAGUGACAUUGCUUAAAAAUGUUAAAAAUCUGCUGCGUGUAUUUAGAAGGACAAGAUACAGUCUUGGACCCUGAAAAGUGUGUAGAUUAAAGAAUGACAAAUGAAAAAUUAACGUACUUUAAAAAGCAGAAGAUAAACAUUGACACUGCAAUCUGAUGAUUGUCCUAACGACCCGAAGGUAAUGGUGACAUGGAGAAGAACUACCACAUGCAGGACGGAGGAAGAGAGAGAUACCGGAUACACGUCCAAGGAGCACGACUCCGAGCGGCGGGGGCAGGAGGAAGCGUGUUGGCGAAGGCGGGCCGCUGUGCACCCCCUGCAGGGAGUUGCCAGUGCACCUGGCCCAGGUGAGCGUGGACGUGUGAAGACGGAGGGUGAGAGCGGGCGAGAGGCCGAGACAGUCGGCGCUGAGCAGGACGGCGGGCAGGCCCUGUGGUCGUGCCCAGCCUCGGAAGUCAGACGGUAGGAGGUGAUCUGUGACUCUGGAGGGUCACUCUGGAGCAAGGGACCGACACUGACGGCAGAAACCAAAUACAAUGAAAUAACUUAAUCUGGGAGGGAAGCGGAGACAAGGGGAGGAGGGAGGCUUCAGAGGCGGCCAAGGACUCAACAGAAGAGGGCUGCGGAGCUAAUGAAGGGGGCUAAGGAAAGAAUGGGACUCUUGGGAUGGGGUGAUUUGACUGAUAGUAGAUGAAAUACAGACUUCUAGAAGUCCUAAAGGUUUUGGAGAAACACAAAGUUUUGAGGAGCCUGUCACAGAGCUCCUGGGCUCAGCUGGAGAGGCCAAGCCCUUGCUGACACCUACUACGGGCUGAGGGGUCAUCCGCACGUUGGUGCCGGAGGAAGCUGCAGCUCUGGACGGUAAGGGCCAGAGUCACGUGCUCAGAGUGAGACGCAGGCCAACGGUGGGCCCUGGGGAACUCUCCCUGCCUCUCCUCCAGUUAAGGGAUGGUCCAAAGAAAAGACUACCUGAAAAGACAGCCUGAUCGUUAAAAAUUAAUUGUUCUUGAUUCACAUGUUUAACGUUGUGCUUACAGGAAUACUCUGGCCAAAUCUCUACCUUGGAUAUUACCUUUUCAGGUCAUCAUAACAUCAACUGAUGCUCCUGGAUAAUUGAAUGAACGAUGCCCAACGUAAGACUGUGAUUGGUUUGUGUGAUUUCAUAAAUGCACAAAAGACACAUGAACUUACUCAGUGAUUUUUACUUUUGUCAAGGUGAAUAUAAAAACAAAUUGGACUUAUAUUGCUUUUUAAUGAAACACCUCUAACGCUAGCGGAAGAUGGAUGCACAGUUAUCAAAUGCGCUUUGGCGAUGAUAUUUAAGGAAACAGGUCAAAUAGAAAGACCAGUUUUGCAAAUAUGUCCGGGAAAACCGUCAACUCACAAACCCAGCUAAGAAAAAGAUUAUGCAUUUACAGGAGCCGGAGAAGAACAACAAAUUCUAAGUCAGAAUUGGCGUCCUAGCAGAGAAUUGUUUUAGGACUCCACUUUUUACGGAAAAUGGGUAAAAAUAUAUGCAAGUGAUUAGCACAAAUGGACCAGUGAACGAGUAGCCCGUGUUGAUACACAGACACACGCACGUACGUACUCAUGCGAUAGAGUCAAAGGAUUGCUUGUGAAGAUUAAUAAGAUAAUGCAUGCAAGGUCUUAAAAAUAAAGAAAAAACAACCUCUGGUACAGAGUAAAUACUCAGCAAAUGCCAAGUAUUUUCCUGUUAUUUUAACUGCCUCAUUGUUUAGCUCACUGCUAUCCAGACGGCUAUAGAAACAAACUGUAGAUAAUACAGUAAAUGAUUCUACGCAUUUUUAUUGAGCUUUACAUAACUUAGAAUUUGUAUUUCUAGAUUAUUUGUCUUGAAACAAUCAGACUAAAGAAACUUCCAAAUAUGUGUUAAGGUAUUUUUAUUAAAAUCUCAAAAGAGGGAUCCCUGGGUGGCGCAGCGGUUUGGCGCCUGCCUUUGGCCCAGGGCGCGGUCCUGGAGACCCGGGAUCGAAUCCCA